rnacentral:lncRNA from 1 species
UUCUUAAAGACUGGAUUUCAUCCUUAUUUUUUUGGUCGUCCUUUUCCUUUUGGUCGGAUUUUCUUUGAAGGUCAUCUUUCAUCUCCUUUGCCUCAUUUUCCAGCUGGUUGAUUUUGGCUUUCAAGACACUAUUUUCUGUUUCUAGAUGACUUGUCUUAGUUUUUAAGUUCUUUUCCCAAUUGUCUUCAGCCUCUCUUAAUUGUGUUUUGAAUUGCAUUUUGAGUUCUUACAAAGCCUGUAUCCAAUUCACUGGGAUUUCUGAUUUUGCCCUUGCUGUUCCCUCCCCCUCUGUUUCAUUCGCUCAUUACCUGUGCAGAAGUUGUCUAUUGUAAUUUCCUUCUUCUUUUUCUGUUGUUUGCUCGAGUUUACCCCUUCUUUGCUCCCUUUAUUUGGCUGUGCUCUUGCUCCUCUCAUUUUGUUUUGGUUUUGGGGCUGUCAGUCUCCCCUCUUGGAGCUUUGUCAGAUCUCUUGGUACAGUCUCUAGGGGAGGAAUGUUAGCUUCCCUGUCCUCUGGAGGCUUUUGCUUGGAUUGAAUUCAAGUGGGUUGGGCUGUAUGCGGUAUGAAACUGAGGCUCUGAAAACACCUGGAAGGCUGGGCCGCCCAGGCUCUCUCCAGUUCUCUCUAGCUGUUUCUCCACUGUCCACAAGUGCCUUUGCCCUCCUCCCUAAACUCUGAGGAGUUCUGAUUGAAUUGGCUGGAUUGAUCUGGUUAUGCACCGAGGCAAAAGUGAGGCUGGAGCCCGAUGGAGGGACCCAGCCGCGGCCUCCUCUCUCCCUGACUUCCUCCCUCCUGUCCAAGCUGGAUUCUCCGAGCCCGGCGCCCUGCUGCUCACAAGGUAGACCCUCCAAGCCAGCACCUUUGGCCACUCAAAGGUUCCCGCUGCUGUUGCUGCAGGCUCAGCACUCUGGGUUGUGGGGGAGGGGUCCUGGGACCUACCCUCUGCCUUCCCCUUAGCCCUGAGUAUUCUCGGAUUCCGGCUUUUGGGGGGCGUACCUUUUGAUUUGAGUCCAGAAGGAGGGUUCCCCGCUUCUGUCCUGUUGUUCAGGUUGAGUUUCGGCACCCUAGGAGCAUUCAGUCUGUAUAGACAUUGUCAUCAAAGUUGCCUCCUACCAACACCAAGUGAGAAUAUAGGAGUACAUAUUUAAGGUGAGGAAAUGAGGAGAAAAUAUUCUUAUCAAACUUCUCUGCUAAGGGUUUGGUGGUAGUGUGAGGCAAUUUUGAUAUAUGUAGGAUAGGUAAUGAAUACAUACGUACAUAUGUAUGCAGAUGUAUACAUGUAUGUAUCUGUAUAUGUAUAUCUGUAUAAUUUAAUAGGAAAAGGAAGAAUGCAAAAGGACUUAGCAAUGUGAAUUUCCAAGUGAUUGACAGGGACAUGUGACGCAGAUUCACAUGGGAGUCUGGGUCAAGAUCUGGAUGAAUAUUCCAAGGUUCCAACUAAAGAAAAUCUCUCUCUCCUGAAGGAGGUUUUGGAGAUUGGGGUUUUUUCCCAUCUAUCUACCAGGUCUCUGGCCUUUUGGAGAUACCAGCUCGAGUGAAGGGGAUCCUGCUUGGACUGGCUGCUGACAGCUGGACAGAGGACUAAAGAACCACUUCUCUACUGGACCUGCUUUGGACAGUUUCUUCUGAAGAUCUUGGCUCAUAGAUUAGACUCCAUUUGUGAGAUUUUGUGUUGGGGAAACAAUGUUUUGCAGCUUAGAUAAGUUAGGUUUAAGAUAGGCUUAUAGGAAUUAGGUUUGGGGAUUAAUUAUAAUAAUUUUCCUUACCCUUUUACCAUUCUUUCCCUCUCAAUCUUCCCAAAAAAUAAACAUGAUUUUUAUGUUUCCUUCUUGUUCUUU